rnacentral:rRNA from 1 species
UACGGGGGGGAGCAAGCGUUGUUCGGAUUUACUGGGCGUAAAGCGUGCGCAGGCGGCUCGGUAAGUCCGCUGUGAAAGUCCAGGGCUCAACCCUGGAAUGCCGGUGGAAACUGUCGAGCUAGAGUCCGGAAGAGGCGAGUGGAAUUCCUGGUGUAGCGGUGAAAUGCGCAGAUAUCAGGAGGAACACCGGUGGCGAAGGCGGGUCUCUGGGCAGUAACUGACGCUGAGGAGCGAAAGCGUGGGGAGCGAACAGG